UGGAAUUAGGGUAACAGCUGACAGCGAUGAGGAGUUGUAACUGGCAUAAAAUGGGGUUUGGAAUCCAGGGCUAAUUGCGUUGGGCAAGGUAAUCUGGACGAACGCUUGGGCUCUUGUUGGGAAUUUCCUGAAGACGGGUGUGUUUCGUUUGCUGAAUACCUUGGACCUCCGUCGUCUUCUUGACGGACAUUAAUUGCCUAUUCUGGAUUGACACUGGACUGACUGACUACGACCUCGGACUACCCCUUCUGUGGCUUUCGGUGGAAUUGGUGAACCAAAGACAUCUGUACCUGGCUUUCGACCUCGGACCGGACUGGGACCCUGCUGACCGUUGCUACCCUGAUUGAAGUGCCUGGAUCCGGAUUCCGUUUGUUGCACGGAGGAGUAACAACCUUAGUUACUCAUUUGCAGCUUUCGAGUAGCAGAGAGGAAUCUGCUGCCAGCUAUUUAUGUUCCUUUAAAUCCUUGUUUGUCUACUUUUGUUUGUUUAAAUUGCCGGGCUGAAGUAAGCAUUUUCUGUUUAACCCGGAUUAAACUCCUGUUUAAUCCGGUUUUUCUUUUGAACCACUUUUGGUACCAGCGGAGUCUUUUUUGUGUAUCUUUUACACUAAAGGCAAGUGUUUGCCUAGCCCUUUGUUUCAUACGGGCACUUUUUAGUUCUGUAACUUUAAUAAACUGUGUUGAACUUU